GAAUCAAAAUCAAUAUCUAAAGAGCUUGCUUCAACAAUAAAUGAUGGUCUUUACUUCUACGAGCAAGUACUGGAAAAAAAGCGAUCUAAUCGUAAAAAGAGCAAAUGCAACUCAGAGAAUAGGGAAGGAGCCUCAAGAUUAUCUAGCAAUGCUUCAGUACCAGCAAGGUCAAAACCUAGUGAAAAUUCUGCUGGAUACUGUGGUUUGGAUGAAAUCGGAAAUUCUAGUCCCAGGAAGAAACAAACUAAAACCUUCCCUAAA